rnacentral:rRNA from 1 species
GACGAACGCUGGCGGCGUGCUUAACACAUGCAAGUCGAACGGUGAAGCUCCAGCUUGCUGGAGUGGAUCAGUGGCGAACGGGUGAGUAACACGUGAGCAACCUGCCCCUGACUCUGGAAUAAGCGCUGGAAACGGCGUCUAAUACUGGAUACGAGAAGGGUCCGCAUGGGCACUUUCUGGAAAGUUUUUCGGUUGGGGAUGGGCUCGCGGCCUAUCAGCUUGUUGGUGAGGUAAUGGCUCACCAAGGCGACGACGGGUAGCCGGCCUGAGAGGGCGACCGGCCACACUGGGACUGAGACACGGCCCAGACUCCUACGGGAGGCAGCAGUGGGGAAUAUUGCACAAUGGGCGAAAGCCUGAUGCAGCGACGCCGCGUGAGGGAUGACGGCCUUCGGGUUGUAAACCUCUUUCAGCAGGGAAGAAGCGAAAGUGACGGUUCCUGCAGAAGAAGCACCGGCUAACUACGUG